GAUGAACGCUGGCGGCGUGCCUAAUACAUGCAAGUCGAGCGAACAGACGAGGAGCUUGCUCCUCUGACGUUAGCGGCGGACGGGUGAGUAACACGUGGAUAACCUACCUAUAAGACUGGGAUAACUUCGGGAAACCGGAGCUAAUACCGGAUAAUAUAUUGAACCGCAUGGUUCAAUAGUGAAAGACGGUUUUGCUGUCACUAUAGAUGGAUCCGCGCCGCAUUAGCUAGUUGGUAAGGUAACGGCUUACCAAGGCAACGAUGCGUAGCCGACCUGAGAGGGUGAUCGGCCACACUGGAACUGAGACACGGUCCAGACUCCUACGGGAGGCAGCAGUAGGGAAUCUUCCGCAAUGGGCGAAAGCCUGACGGAGCAACGCCGCGUGAGUGAUGAAGGUCUUCGGAUCGUAAAACUCUGUUAUUAGGGAAGAAUAAAUGUGUAAGUAACUAUGCACGUCUUGACGGUACCUAAUCAGAAAGCCACGGCUAACUACGUG
rnacentral:rRNA from 1 species